AGAGAGCAACAAAAUCAGUGUGUAUUUGUUAAGACAAAUGUUUAUAUAAGUCGUCCAUGCGUUGUACAUUUAAUCUUAACUAAUACGCAUUGAGUUUCGUUGCUUUCU